GCGCACGAUGGUUUAGUGGUCAGCACGUUCGCCUCACACCUCCAGUGUCGAGGGUUCGAUUCCCACCGUGGACC